UUUGCCUGCUCUCAUCAACCUUAGCUUCAUCGACCCUCAAGUCAUCGUCUUCUUCGCCACCAUCACUGGUUGCAUCAUUACCUUCCUGGCUAUUGUUCUUCUCCUCUAGUUUCUUAAUCUGUUGCUCCUUCAGAUAUUUCUUCUGUGCAUCCUCUCAUAAUAACUCUAAACUCUUUAAAUUAAAUUCAAGUUCUUAUAGUUAACUCUAAACCGUGGAAGAGAGAAGGACAAAGAAGAAACAACAUAAUCAGUUUAUCAAACAAAGAUCAGAGCUUUAGAUAAAACUCUUACAGAUAUCAAAAGACUUUCAACUAAAGUCUAUAUAUUGAUUGAUAUAAGCCCACAAAGAAGUUGUUUGAAAGCAUAUUAAGACAUAACACCAUGGAACCCAAAUUAACCUGGUGGUAGCAAAUACGGAAGCGUUGAGCAUAGAUAAAUUCCAACAAAGCCCUAAUCAAAUCAGCACCAUCCAUAGAAGCCGAGAGAUCACAUCUGAGAUUUGUUCCAGACCUUAAUGGAAACCUCCCUGGGAGAAAGACGAAGAAGAAUAUGGGCUAGGGCUAUAGCUUCGUGAUACACAGAUGAAGAAGAAGAAGAACCUCGGGUCAGGACUUGGAUUUAACUCUCUAUCACUUCUCUUUUUGCGAACCCUAACCUAAAACAUCGAAAAUGGUUAACACAAACAAAAACGAAACAGUAGACAAAUGACGUGUAGAAACGAAAUAAGUUGAUUGGUUCUUCAAGUUUUUUCAAUUAAUGACAUGUAAGACUCUCAAGACUCUAAAAGUCUGAUGUGUCAACACCAGGAGAGAACCUUGUGCUAUUAUUGUGUUGAUUAGAAUGUGGUAAACUUGGUAUAAAUUGGGAAUGACCCUACGAGAUCACUAAGUUGUCAAACCAAACAUCUAUAAAUCUGAGACAUCUUCAGGUGGACCAGUGUCGUGAUUCUAGUAUUUAAUGAAUCUUAAGAAAAACUUCAUGUGAAAAUGCUUUUAGCGCCAAAAAAUAAAUUACGAAUGACUUGAUCCUCUUUAGAAGUAUGUAGACAGCUUUCACAGAUGCAACUAUACAAAUAUGUAUGUAUAUAUAUGUAUAUCUACAUGCAUAACCUGAGAUGAACUCACUUGAGUGGUCGGAGCACCUUCUCGAGUUGAAGUCACUUUAGUUGGUUCAAGCACCUCACUGAAGAAGCUGAAUCCAAUUUAGCUUAAUUGGUUGGAGCACCUUACGGAGUUGCAAUUUAGUUGUUUCGAGCACCUCUUUAAAGAACCCAAUUCAAACUUAUCUUAAUUGGCUGGAGCAUCUCGGCAAAUCGAAGGGCAUGUUUAUUGGGGAGUUCUUAGGGUGAAUUUCUUACCAUAAUAUAAGAAUCGUCUCUUAACUUUUAACUAAGAAAAACUAAGAACGAGCUUUUAAAUAAGAGUUUUAAGAGACGGUUGUUAGUUUUCCUUAGUUAAAGUUAAGAAACGGUUCUUAUAUUACGCUAAGAACUUCAUUCUAAGAACUCCGCAAUAAACAUGGUCUAAGUCUCUAGCACCUGGCAGAAGAAGCUGAGUCAAAUUCACCCUAAUCUGUUGAAGUACCUCAUCGAGUUGAAAGUUUGCCUAAAAUUGGUCCAAGUAAACUCGUUUUGUAAUAGUUGAGUUGAACUCGACGCAAUCGGUUUGAGUAUAUUUCCGAGUUAAAAAUUUACCAGAAAAAUGGUCAAAUUAAACUAGUAUUUUGUUGGGAACUUAUUCAUUUCAGUUGAAUUUCUUUGGUUAGUGUGCUACAAUUGAUUAUUGUAAUCUUUCCUCAUCAUAUGAAAAACUUUUAAGAUAAAACGCCGUCUUAACCAGUUGUUCAGUAUUAGUUGUUAAUAUAUUUCUACCUAGUUGAAUUCCUUUGGUUAGAAAUUUCUAACCAGAUGAACAUACUCUUUCUAACCAGUUGAACCCAUUCUUUCUAAAUCGAGAUCGAUUUCGUCUCUGAUGAUGAACCGAAGAAACUUAUUAGAGAUGGACUACGAAAAUCCACUUAGGGCAUCUCCAACUCCACUCUAUUUUUUAUUCUAAAAUAUUUCGAGUAAAAAUGCUACCAUAGUACUUUAUUUUUUCAUUCUAUAAUAAAGUUGAAAAAUUGGUUUACUAUCUAAAUAUAGAGUAACUUAUUAUUUAUUUUCUUAUCACUCUAUUUUCUACUCUAAAAUAAACUAUCAUUGUAGUAAAUUCAAAUUCUAUUAUAAAAUUAUUCUAUUUUAGAGUAAAAAAUAGAGUAAGCCAUUGAAGAUUUAGGGUAAGAAAUAGAGUAAGCUGAGAUGCUCUUAUGUUAAAAACAAUAAACCAUUUAAACCAAUCCCAAAAUUUGUCAGAAGCUCUCUAUGUAACGCCUGCGAAGAGUCGAAUCAAAACUCUGACUCUCCUUAUAGACCCAAGAAGCGUCACAUUUUGUCCCCAAAUCUCAUUCUUUCGUACUUUGAAAAAACGCUAAGUGAAAGAAUCACGCUCACUGUUGGACUACAUGACUUAGAGAGACGUAGUGGCUUGGACCGCAUUGAUCAAAAGGUGCGGAUAAAAAGCUAUUUCCACAAGAUGGAAGAUAGAAAUUUGAUCACACGGAUCACUUUGAUAUCGGAACCUGAGCGAUCAGACAGCAGCAAAGCUCUGCUUCUGUUUCAGAGGUUUAAAUCACAAGGCUCUGUGCCAAGUUAUUACACUUUCACAAGCUUAGUGUAGCUGCUUUCUCUAAGAGGGUUUAAUAAGAACAUUGAGUUAGCUAAUGCAUUAAUCUACAUGUAUGCUAAUGCAAUCUCUUCGAAAUUGCAGAGAAGAGGAAUCUUGUAUCUUAGACUUCAAUGAUGAUUGGUAUCACAAGGUAAGGAGUAGAUGCUGUUGGGCUUUUCGAUGAAACGGUUGGUUACAGUAACAGACCAGACCGGAUUGUUUCCAUGGUGGUUCUGAGCGGUGCCGCCAUGCCAGUCUAAUGGAGAAAGGAGUGAAGUUAUCUGUUAUCAGACAAUUUUGAUGAUCAAGAAGCCGGAACUUGAAAGUGAUACACAAAGAUGAAAAUUUGGUUUGUGUUUUAAGUUACCCGUUAUAUGAUUCUCCACCGUUCUAUUUU